rnacentral:ncRNA from 1 species
CGCUCUUUGCCACCGGGUAAAGGGAGAAACGUCAUUUUCUUAUCGUUAGGUCUUUGAAGAUAAGGAAAUGGCGAUUUAUAUUUU